GACGAACGCUGGCGGCGUGCUUAACACAUGCAAGUCGAACGGUGAAGCGCCUUCCUUUUUGGUGGGUGUGGAGGAGUGGCGAACGGGUGAGUAACACGUUAGUAACCUGCUCCCUUCUUCUGGAUAACCGCAUGAAAGUGUGGCUAAUACGGGAUAUUCUGGGUCUGUCGCAUGAUGGGUCUGGGAGAGAUUUUGUUUCGGUGGGGGAUGGGCUCGCGGCCGAUUAGCUUGUUGGUGGGGUGAUGGCCUACCAAGGCGGCGAUGCGUAGCCGGCCGGAGAGGAGGGUGGGCCGCACUAGAGGGGCGGCGCCGCGCACACGACUCCGGGGGGAAGCAGUGGUGGAGAAUAGGGCACGAGGGGCGCCAGCCUGCUGCAGCGCCGCCGCGGGGGGGAUGGAGGCCUUCGGGUUGUGAACCUCUUUCGGCAGAGAAGCAGGCCUGCCUAGUUUGUGGGUGGGUUGACGGUAGCUGGAUAAGAAGCGCCGGCUAACUACGUG
rnacentral:rRNA from 1 species